AUGGACGCGGCUCGGCAGGGAAGGGGAGCGGGAGGAACCCCCCCUCGGGAGCCCUGGAAUGCCAGGAAAUCCCCCAGUGUGUGGUUUUCCAGGCAGGAAUGCUCGGCGGCUCCGGGGAUGGAGGCACGGGCAGGUCCAUCCCCGCCCUCCCACCUCUGCGGCUCCCCCGCCCCAGCUCCAGGUGCAGGAAUGCCCUCUGGAAAACAGGAGCCCAUCCCAACCCCAUCCCAAGCCUGGAGCCCAUCCCAACCCCAUCCCAAUCCCGCUCCCAGGCUGAUAAGGAACCAGCUCCGACAACAAAGAGCUGCGGGAGCUCCACCUGCAAACCGGCUGGGCGAGGCCUUUCCCCGCGGAGCGGGCCGGGGAGCAGGACCAGCACCUGGGAAUAGGUGGGAAUUCCGUGCGGCCGCUCGGGGACAUCGGGAAUCGCUCCGCAGGGAACAGAAAGCGUCCCGGCUCCGAUCCCGGGCACCUGGAGCUGCUCCUCACCUGCUCCGAGUCAUUCCCGGGAUAAACCUCGCCCCAGCCAAACUCUUGGCUCGGGCACAAAUCCCUGGAAUGACGCAUCCCUACACGAGUUCAGCUCCCACCGGAGGCGCCAGGAGCAGGGGAGGGCAGCAGGAAAAGCGAUGGAAAUCCCAAAAAGGAUCUGAAAAGACGCCGGCCGGAGCCUCCACGGGAGCACCUGGGGCUCUUCCCUACCUGCUCAUCCCGUCUCUCCGCACGUCUCCCAAAUUUAGCCCGGCAAGCCGGGACAGGCGGCGGGAGCUGCUCCCGCCCCCGGCCCGCGGGAGUGACCCCAGGGGAUCCGGGAUGUUCCAGACACCCCGGGAGCCCUCGGAGCCGCGCCCAGCGCUGCGGCUGGAGCCGCUGGGAACGCGCCAGGAUCCCGGGAGCGCGGCCAGGAACGGNNUCGCGGCCGCUCCCGGGAAGGAGAGAGCAGGAGGAGCGGGGAGAGGUCCACGGGACCAACAUCCCACAGGAUAAUCCCCGCUGGAAUAACGAGCUCCCCGCGGAUCGCCGGCACAGCCGGGAUCCAGCAUCUCCUGGACCAGCUUCCUGCUCGUCCUCGCCGGGGCUGGAAGGAUCCCGCAGGAAUUCCAGACCCUUGGUCCCUCACCCGCCCGGACUCUCCC
rnacentral:lncRNA from 1 species